AUCUUGGAGAGUUUGAUCCUGGCUCAGGACGAACGCUGGCGGCGUGCUUAACACAUGCAAGUCGAACGAAGAGCGACGGAAGCUUGCUUC
rnacentral:rRNA from 1 species